ACUCCCAUUCCGGAAUAACACAUUUAAAAGAGAGAGGAACGACAAAAGUCUGUGCAUCUUGUAGAAUCCAUUGUCUCGUCCUCCACUUCAUUUCUUUGAAUUAAAUCAUUUUCCUAUAACACCCCAUUGACUACCACUCUGCCUUUUGAAGGACUUUUUUUUUUUUUUUUUUUUUUUUUUUAAACUCAAUUUUGCGAGCUAACAACUAUAAACAUCACGUCAGACACCAAAACGUAUCUGCGCUCCGAGGGAAAAAGACGUCGUGAGAAAGGGGACAGCCAUCGCCACCCUUCUGACUCAGAAGAGAUUCUCUUCAAAAAUGGCCAUCAGGUCGCUCUGGAAGUUAAUGUCAAUGGUGUCGGCCAUCUGCAUAGGAGAAGAGAACACAGAUUUAAGAGGAUGUUCAUUUCCAAAUGCUGGAAAAGCAGAAAAUUUUUCAGCCGUUAUUCCAUGUUGCGGUUUUGUAUAAACAGCACCAACACCGUGAGAGACAGAGCCUUCAGCCACUCUUGACCUCCGAACUCUUCAAAUACAAACCAUAUCAUUUGCCAUUUUAAUUUUUUUUAUGUUUAUUUUUAUUGUAUUGCUUGAGUUCUUGUAACUUUGUUUACACCUUAACCAUUACUGGCUUGAAAGUCGCCUUUAAAGGGGCCUAUAAAUAAAAUGAAUUAUUAUCAUCUGAA